rnacentral:lncRNA from 1 species
GACGUCAUAAUGUUUGAACCGACGUUGAUAAGUUUGACCCGAACUUAUCAAGUCAACUUCCGGUUGCUGGUGAAACUAAGACAAUACUUCCAAAAGACGCAAAUACAGUCCGAUAAAUCGAUUAUCAUGUUAUCGGCAUAUUAAUAUUGUAAAAUAUCAGCUGCUCGACAUAAUAUGAAGGCUUUUUGAUCUCGUUCGCUGCGCUUACUCGACAAAAAGCUUCAUAUUAUGUCUCGCAGCUGAUAUUUUAUGAUAUCAACAUGCAGACAACCUGAUAAUCGGUACGUAU